CCCAAAUGUGUUGGCCAUCUAAAACCCUAACAUGCUGAUUUAUAGUGGGAGGAGUAAUCGUGGAGUGGGCUGCUUUUCACCAAAGUGGGCCCACCUACGUGGCUUGUUAUUAGCCAAGCGCACAGUCAAGCUUAAACGAGCCGGGCAAUCGAGUCAUUUCGCAGCUGUGUUUCUAUGCCUCGUUGUGUUUCGAAUUCUCUCACCCAUGAAAAUGUUCGAAAUCACUAGUGGCGAAGAAGAGAGCUCAUCAGCAACUGAUUCUGACAUUGCUUGGGAAGCCAUUGACAUCAGCAACUGAUUUUGAUUCUGACAUCAGGUCAUGAAAAGCAUGGACUGAGAUCAAACCUUCCUUUUAUGCUGCCUUGUUAGCUGGGAGAUCCAUAACAACGAGCUCAAGGCAAUCAGCUUGGACGUCAACCAUUAUCCUCACCCAGACACCCACUUUACAAUUACACCUCUCUGCGUCUUCUUCAGUAUGCUGGUUUUUAUGAGAUCUUCUCUCCUAAGAAAGGAGAGACGGUGUUCAUUUCAGCGGCAUCAGGAGCGGUAGGUCAGCUUGUUGGCCAAUUUGCCAAGUUUGGCCAGGUGCUAUGUUGUUGGGAGUGCUGGAAGCAAAGACAAGGUUGAUUUGCUGAAGAACAAGUUUCGCUUUGACCAGAAAGUCAGUAAAAUGGAUCACGAAAGAGGUGGACUAAAGCAUGCACAAGUUUGGAAAUAAGUGAAGGUUUCACUCUUCAAUACUUUCACAACAGAGUAAUCGAACAGCGGAUGCAGACGACAACCUUUAGUCCUCUCCAAUUGCACUCUUCUUUUCUUAUAAUUGCAUUUUCAACUUAAGAAAUGCCUGGGUUUCUUAGUUUAUGGAUUGUUGACAUUCUUUCACAACCGUGUGUAUAUUUGGAAUUAAUUUCAGUUUCACUUCAUUGAUUUCGUUUUUACAGAUUGUAAUUGUUGAAUGUAAA